UCCUUCUCAAUAUCUCUGUGUUUUGAAGGG
rnacentral:piRNA from 1 species